rnacentral:rRNA from 1 species
AUGAGGAUGCAGGAUGAGGAUGACAAAGAGGUUAACAAAGAUCUCUUUGCCUUGGCAUGUGGUCCUGAUUCAAGAGUCAGGAAAUACUCAUCAUGCAUAAUGAAUGGCAUUCGGUUUAGUACCGUUGAUCGUGAUAACAAUAGGAGAACACAGAAUAGUGGAGUCGUGUGCGAAGGUAUGCAUGACAAGAAGUCAUUGACUUUUAUGGAACCCUAA